rnacentral:rRNA from 1 species
GCGGCAACAGCUCAAAUUUGAAAUCUGGCCCCUUCGGGGUCCGAGUUGUAAUUUGCAGAGGGUGCUUUUGGUGUUGGCCGUGGUCUAAGUUCCUUGGAACAGGACGUCACAGAGGGUGAGAAUCCCGUACGUGGCCGCCGGCCCUCGCCUUGUAAAGCCCCUUCGACGAGUCGAGUUGUUUGGGAAUGCAGCUCUAAAUGGGAGGUAAAUUUCUUCUAAAGCUAAAUACCCGCCAGAGACCGAUAGCGCACAAGUAGAGUGAUCGAAAGAUGAAAAGCACUUUGGAAAGAGAGUGAAAAAGCACGUGAAAUUGUUGAAAGGGAAGCGCUUGCGGCCAGACGUGCCCGCGGUUGUUCAUCUGGGCUCUCGCCCGGUGCACUCCUCCGCGGGCAGGCCAGCAUCAGUUUGGGCGGUCGGACAAAGGUCUCUAUCACGUACCACCCCUCGGGGUGGCCUUAUAGGGGAGACGCAACACGGCCAGCCUGGACUGAGGUUCCGCGCAUCUGCUAGGAUGCUGGCGUAAUGGCAGCAAGCGGCCCGUCUUGAAACACGGACCAAGGAGUCUAACAUCUAUGCGAGUGUUUGGGUGUCAAGCCCGAGCGCGUAAUGAAAGUGAACGGAGGUGGGAACCCCUCGGGGCGCACCAUCGACCGAUCCUGAUGUCUUCGGAUGGAUUUGAGUAAGAGCAUAGCUGUUGGGACCCGAAAGAUGGUGAACUAUGCCUGAAUAGGGUGAAGCCAGAGGAAACUCUGGUGGAGGCUCGCAGCGGUUCUGACGUGCAAAUCGAUCGUCAAAUUUGGGCAU